rnacentral:rRNA from 1 species
GUAGGUGGCAAGCGUUGUCCGGAAUUAUUGGGCGUAAAGCGCGCGCAGGCGGUCCUUUAAGCCUGAUGUGAAAGCCCACGGCUCAACCGUGGAGGGUCAUUGGAAACUGGGGGACUUGAGUACAGAAGAGGAAAGCGGAAUUCCAAGUGUAGCGGUGAAAUGCGUAGAGAUUUGGAGGAACACCAGUGGCGAAGGCGGCUUUCUGGUCUGUAACUGACGCUGAGGCGCGAAAGCGUGGGGAGCAAACAGGGAUUAGAUACCCUGGUAGUCCACGCCGUAAACGAUGAGUGCUAAGUGUUAGGGGGUUUCCCGCCCCUUAGUGCUGCAGCUAACGCAUUAAGCACUCCGCCUGGGGAGUACGGCCGCAAGGCUG